rnacentral:rRNA from 1 species
AGUGAACGCUGGCGGUAGGCCUAACACAUGCAAGUCGAACGGCAGCACAGUAAGAGCUUGCUCUUACGGGUGGCGGGUGGCGGACGGGUGAGGAAUACAUCGGAAUCUACUUUUUCGUGGGGGAUAACGUAGGGAAACUUACGCUAAUACCGCAUACGACCUACGGGUGAAAGCAGGGGAUCUUCGGACCUUGCGCGAUUGAAUGAGCCGAUGUCGGAUUAGCUAGUUGGCGGGGUAAAGGCCCACCAAGGCGACGAUCCGUAGCCGGUCUGAGAGGAUGAUCAGCCACACUGGAACUGAGACACGGUCCAGACUCCUACGGGAGGCAGCAGUGGGGAAUAUUGGACAAUGGGCGCAAGCCUGAUCCAGCCAUACCGCGUGGGUGAAGAAGGCCUUCGGGUUGUAAAGCCCUUUUGUUGGGAAAGAAAAGCAGCAGGUUAAUACCCCGCUGUUCCGACGGUACCCAAAGAAUAAGCACCGGCUAACUUCGUG